rnacentral:rRNA from 1 species
AAUCUGGCUCUAGGUCUGGGACAACAGUUGGAAACGACUGCUAAUACCGGAUGUGCCGAGAGGUGAAAGGCUUGCUGCCUAGAGAUGAGCUCGCGUCUGAUUAGCUAGUAGGUGUGGUAAAAGCGCACCUAGGCGACGAUCAGUAGCUGGUCUGAGAGGAUGAUCAGCCACACUGGGACUGAGACACGGCCCAGACUCCUACGGGAGGCAGCAGUGGGGAAUUUUCCGCAAUGGGCGAAAGCCUGACGGAGCAAUACCGCGUGAGGGAGGAAGGCUCUUGGGUUGUAAACCUCUUUUCUCAGGGAAUAAAAAAAUGAAGGUACCUGAGGAAUCAGCAUCGGCUAACUCCGUGCCAGCAGCCGCGGUAAUACGGAGGAUGCAAGCGUUAUCCGGAAUGAUUGGGCGUAAAGCGUCCGCAGGUGGCGAUGUAAGUCUGCUGUUAAAGAGCAAAGCUUAACUUUGUAAAAGCAGUGGAAACUACAUAGCUAGAGUGCGUUCGGGGCAGAGGGAAUUCCUGGUGUAGCGGUGAAAUGCGUAGAGAUCAGGAAGAACACCGGUGGCGAAGGCGCUCUGCUAGGCCGCAACUGACACUGAGGGACGAAAGCUAGGGGAGCGAAUGGG